rnacentral:rRNA from 1 species
UACGGAGGGUGCAAGCGUUAAUCGGAAUUACUGGGCGUAAAGCGUGCGCAGGCGGUUUGUUAAGUCAGAUGUGAAAGCCCCGGGCUUAACCUGGGAACUGCAUUUGAUACUGGCAAACUAGAGUGUGGUAGAGGGGAGUGGAAUUCCUCAUGUAGCGGUGAAAUGCGUAGAUAUGAGGAGGAACACCAGUGGCGAAGGCGACUCCCUGGACCAACACUGACGCUCAGGUACGAAAGCGUGGGUAGCAAACAGG